ACUCCUACGGGAGGCAGCAGUGGGGAAUUUUGCGCAAUGGGGGAAACCCUGACGCAGCAACGCCGCGUGAGUGAUGAAGGCCUUUGGGUCGUAAAGCUCUGUCAGAGGGAAAGAAAUGUGGGCGGAUAAUACCUGUUCCACUUGACGGUACCCUCAAAGGAAGCACCGGCUAACUCCGUGCCAGCAGCCGCGGUAAUACGGAGGGUGCGAGCGUUGUUCGGAAUUAUUGGGCGUAAAGCGCGUGUAGGCGGUUUGCUAAGUCUGAUGUGAAAGCCCCGGGCUCAACCCGGGAAGUGCAUUGGAAACUGUGAGACUUGAGUACGGGAGAGGGCAGUGGAAUUCCCAGUGUAGGAGUGAAAUCCGUAGAUAUUGGGAGGAACACCGGUGGCGAAGGCGGCUGCCUGGACCGAUACUGACGCUGAGACGCGAAAGCGUGGGGAGCAAACAGGAUUAGAUACCCUGGUAGUCCACGCCGUAAACGAUGAGAACUAGGUGUCGCGGGUA
rnacentral:rRNA from 1 species